AUGGCCGACGCCCCGCCGAGUCCCGGCGGCCUGGCCGUCGACCCGCCCGCCAAGGUGAAGAAGAAGGCGCCAAGGAAACCGCGGUUGGAGUACACGCCGGAGGAGAUCGCCAAGUUGGACGCGGAAUCGGCGAAGAGGAGGGAACGGAGAGCGGUCGUCAAGCUCAAUGCCACCGCGGCCAAGAGAGCCGCCAUGCGCGAGGAGCUGGAGGCCGCGCGGCGCAAGGCCGCUGCCGACGAGAAGGAGGACCUCGUCAACAAAGCUCACGCCAUCCUCAUGCUUGGCAUGGGCCGUCCUGCCGGGUUCCCUGCAGCGGCCGUCGCCCCGGCGAGCACCAGCUCGUCGGUUGCGUGGCCUACGCACUGCCAGUCGCCGACGUCGCGCACCACGCCCAUGUCGCCCGGCUUCCCUCCGCCAAGGCACGACGGACAGACCCGUUUCUCGGGGUUGCCGGAGGUGGGCUUGUUCGCGCCAUCCACACCGCGCCCCGCAGCCGUCAUCGACCUCAACGUCACGCCCGGGUCCAGCAGCGGCGGGCGGCUGUCCGUCGAGAUGCGAAGAAAGCAGGCACGGGCACCGUUCGCGGGCACCAUGCCGCCCCCCCCCCCGAAAAGAGGACUGAAGACGGCCAAGUUCGUCGGAGGUGAAGAUGGCGAGGCGUUGAAGAGGCCGAGGGGCAAGACCAACUCCAAGGUGGACGACAUACGUGGCAUGAUGUCCCAAAAGGAUGUGAGGGACGAGAAGAAGCGGCAAAGCAAGGACGAGCAAAUGAAUCAAUACCUAGACCUUCAAAGACAGAAGCUUGAGAUGGAGGAGGCGGCCAAGAGGAGGAAGCUCGACAUGGAGGAGGCGGCCCGGCAAAGGCAGCUCGACAUGGAGGAGGCGGCCCGACAAAGGCAGCUGGACAUCGAGGCCGACAACGUCAAGGCCAGGCAGAGGCAGCUCGACAUCGAGGCCACCAAUGCCGCCACCAAAGCGAAGGAGGAGGCCCUUGCGAUCAUGAGCGUGGACUUGUCGAAGAUGAGCGACAAGACGAGGGCCUGAGUCCGAGUUCGGCCGACGGAAACGCCCAACAUGGAGGGCGAGCGGUUGCUCGUCUAUGGCAUGCAGAACGAGGCGCAGGCUUGUCAUAUGCAGGCUCAUUUCUCUAUGUAUCAAUGUCACAUGGGCAACGAGGAGCACCGCCGCUGCAUCGUGGCCUGCAUGGUCAAAGGCACUUACGUCCUGGAGAGCGACAGAGCGACGAUGGACAGGAGGGAGGAGCUCGCGCCGGCGUGGUGGGAGAGCUUUGGCUUCCACCUCGAGAAUGAACUCAGAGAGCAGAAGCCCCCCAUCUUCGAAACCAUCUAUGGUGCCAUCUUCAAGUACGCGCCCUGCCCCCGCACGCCUCCCCACCCGCGUGCUCCACGGUAUGUCGUCGCCUUUAGGGGCACCAUGCGCAAGCACCCCGAGUGGUCGGUAGCGACACAAGACAUCUACCUUGACUUCAAAAUACUCACCAACAAACUGAAGAAACGCACGCGCUCUAAGCUGGCGUGCGGGGCGGUCGACGAACUUAUGGAUGACGAAGCCGGCCUAGGAAGCGCCGACGUCUGGCUCGCCGGGCACUCUCUCGGCGCAUCAUUGGCGCUGGACGUGGGGCGGGACAUGAUGGAGAGGCGAGAGCUGAACCUCCCGACCUUCCUCUUCAACCCGCCGCAGGUGUCGCUGACAGCGGCGCUCAACUUGCUGAACGCGCAGGACGUGGCCAAGAGGCAUCUGUACUUCACGAGUUACUUUUUCAAGGCAGGUGCGGCAACCGUCUCGGGUUGCCACCGGGAGCGCAUGGAGAAGUUGUUCGACCGGCUUUCCCCAUGGGUGCCGAAUCUGUACCUGCACGAGAAGGACUGGAUCUGCCAGGGCUUCAUCGACUACUUCGAGCUGGGGCAGCAGUUCGAGAAGGAGCGGCCGCACCUCCUGCCAUCGGCAAUGCUGUGGAAGACCGCGCAAACCAGCCUCGAUGCGCACGCCCUCCAGCAGUGGUGGAAACCGGACAGUGAGCUUGGCUUGGGCGCCGGCACAUGUUAUAGGUGGAACCGGAUCCUCUAA
rnacentral:rRNA from 1 species